rnacentral:rRNA from 1 species
UACGUAGGGUGCAAGCGUUAAUCGGAAUUACUGGGCGUAAAGCGUGCGCAGGCGGUUUUGUAAGUCUGACGUGAAAUCCCCGGGCUCAACCUGGGAAUUGCGUUGGAGACUGCAAGGCUAGAAUCUGGCAGAGGGGGGUAGAAUUCCACGUGUAGCAGUGAAAUGCGUAGAGAUGUGGAGGAACACCGAUGGCGAAGGCAGCCCCCUGGGUCAAGAUUGACGCUCAUGCACGAAAGCGUGGGCAGCAAACAGG